rnacentral:rRNA from 1 species
GACGAACGCUGGCGGCGGGCUUAACACAUGCAAGUCGAACGGAAAGGCCCUGCUUGUGUGGGGUUCUCGAGUGGCGAACGGGGGAGUAACACGUGAGUAACCUGCCCUUGACUUUGGGAUAACUUCAGGAAACGGGGGCUAAUACCGGAUAGCAGCUGCUGCUGCGGGGAGGGGGUUGGAAAGUUUCGGCGGGUGGGGCUGGACGCGCGGCUGAUCAGCUAGUUGGUGGGGGAGCGGCAUACCAAGGCUUUGGCGGGUAGCCGGCAUGGGAGGGUGGACGGGCACCAUGGGCCUGCGAUAGGCCCCAGUGUGCAACGGGAGGCAGCAGUGGGGAAUAUUGCCCAACGGGCGCACGCCUGAUGAAGCGGCGCCGCGUGCGGAAUGACGGCCUUCGGGUUGUGAACCGCUUUCGCCUGUGACGCAGCGUUAGUGACGGUAAUGGGUAAAGAAGCACCGGCUAACUACGUG